UACAGAGGUCCCAAGCGUUGUUCGGAUUCACUGGGCGUAAAGGGUGCGUAGGCGGUCAGGUAAGUCUGACGUGAAAUCUCGGAGCUUAACUCCGGAACGGCGUCGGAAACUAUUUGGCUAGAGGAUUGGAGAGGGGACUGGAAUUCUCGGUGUAGCAGUGAAAUGCGUAGAUAUCGAGAGGAACACCUGCGGCGAAGGCGAGUCCCUGGACAAUUCCUGACGCUGAGGCACGAAAGCUAGGGGAGCAAACAGG
rnacentral:rRNA from 1 species